rnacentral:rRNA from 1 species
AACGAACGCUGGCGGCAUGCCUAACACAUGCAAGUCGAACGACACCUCCGUGUCUAGUGGCGCACGCGUGCGUAAAGCGUCGGACCCGGCCCUUAUGCUCUGAAUAACUCCCCGACAUGGGUGCUAAUACCGGAUAAUGUCUUCGGACCAAAGAUUUAUCGCCUUUGGAUGGGCCCGCGUUGUAUUAGCUAGGUGGUAGGGUAAAAGCCGACGAAGGCGACGAUCAAUAGCUGGUCUGAGAGGAUGAGCAGCCACACUGGGACUGAGACACGGUCCAGACUACUACGGGAGGCAGCAGUGGGGAAUAUUGGACAAUGGGCGAAAGCCUGAUCCAGCAAUGCCGCGUGAGUGAUGAAGGCCUUAGGGUUGUAAAGCUCGUUUACACGGGAUGAUAAUGACAGUACCGAGAGAAUAAGCUCCGGCUAACUCCGUG